rnacentral:rRNA from 1 species
CAGUAGCCGCGGGAAUACGGAGGGGGCUAGCGUUGUUCGGAAUUACUGGGCGUAAAGCGCACGUAGGCGGCUUGGUAAGUUAGAGGUGAAAGCCCGGAGCUCAACUCCGGAAUUGCCUUUAAGACUGCCGAGCUAGUAGGUGAGAGAGGUAGGUGGAAUUCCGAGUGUAGAGGUGAAAUUCGUAGAUAUUCGGAAGAACACCAGUGGCGAAGGCGGCUUACUGGCUCAUUCUAGACGCUGAGGUGCGAAAGCGUGGGGAGCAAACAGGAUUAGAUACCCCUGUAGUCCCUGUCUCUUAUAC